GGGAAUUUUGCGCAAUGGGGGAAACCCUGACGCAGCAACGCCGCGUGGAGGAUGAAAUCCCUUGGGAUGUAAACUCCUUUCGAUCGGGACGAUAAUGACGGUACCGGAAGAAGAAGCCCCGGCUAACUUCGUGCCAGCAGCCGCGGUAAUACGAGGGGGGCAAGCGUUGUUCGGAAUUAUUGGGCGUAAAGGGUGCGUAGGCGGUUUGACAAGUUCUAUGUGAAAUCUAUGGGCUCAACCCAUAGUCUGCAUGGAAAACUGUCGGGCUUGAGAGUGGGAGAGGUGAGUGGAAUUUCCGGUGUAGCGGUGAAAUGCGUAGAUAUCGGAAGGAACACCUGUGGCGAAAGCGGCUCACUGGACCAUUUCUGACGCUGAUGCACGAAAGCAUGGGUAUCGAAG
rnacentral:rRNA from 1 species